rnacentral:lncRNA from 1 species
GCUGCUUCCUACUAUCUGAGAGAGAUAAACACCCACCAAAGCAUUUAUAAAUUCUCUGGUUGGGCUCCAAGCGACACUGAUACACUGACCUUUCACCUUUCUCUCUGGGUCAGCCCCCAGCAGACAGAUGGCAGUGAAAGAGGAAAAGGAGAGGACAACAUCACCUCAACCAAUAUGAGUGACGCGCAGAAGCUAACCCAGGACCAGCUGGCUGAGAGAGUGCUAGCAGAGGACAGUACCAGCCUGUUACCAGUACUAGAGGAGGAGGAGGAGGGCAUACAGGAGUCAGUGGUGCAGGUGCCUACAGUGGAAGUGGACUUGGCAGGUAGAAGGAAAUAGAAGAGCUAUGGCCUCCUGCCAACAUUGUGUGUGAGGGAGAGUGUGUGUGUGUAACACUCCUUUCACUGUCUCUACAGGGACAGUCAGUCUGGCAG